GUUGCUUGUAACCAAUAUCAACCUCUUCUUCAUCUCUACAUAUUUUUGCAUCAAUAGCAUGACUCAUUCCAGUUUCGCUCAUUAAUUGCCUCUUUCGCUUAAUGCUGUCAAUGAUAACAUCAUGAAACUCCUUCUUUAUAAUUCCCAAGACUUCUUUCAAUGUGAAUUCCACCUUAGCGUUUAAUAUACGUUCUUCCAACACCCUUUUCAAAUUUGUUGCCGCUUCAAUGUCAGAAAGUAGCUUAUAAGCAAUUGAUUUGCCCUUAUCUUUUGUCUCCGUUGUUUUUUCUCCCAAUGAUGCUGAGGUAUCCUUUACAGGCAAUUCUUGUGAAGCUGCCUCCCGAGCCUUGUCUCCUCGAGUUUGCCUCUUAAAAGAAUUUCCUUCUCUA
rnacentral:lncRNA from 1 species